GAAAUCCAGAAGGGGUGGAGCCUGUCGGACAGUUCCUAGGCGACCCAUUCUUGGUUUCAA
rnacentral:pre_miRNA from 1 species